rfam:Sporosarcina psychrophila strain DSM 6497, complete genome.
UGAAAAUGAACACAGCCUAAGUUCGCCACAUCGUGUGGCAACGGCUGCGUGACCUACAUCCUGUAGG